rnacentral:rRNA from 1 species
AGAGUUUGAUCAUGGCUCAGAACGAACGCUGGCGGCGUGGCUAAGGCAUGCAAGUCGAACGAACAUAUCCCAAGGGUAACUGAGGGGUAUGUUAGUGGCGAACGGGUGAGGAAUACAUGGACAACGUACCCUGGACACGGGGAUAGCGGCGGGCCGCAAGGCUCUUUAGCGAAAGUGCCGGUAAUACCCGAUGAUCCCGCGGAAUCGCAUGGUUCUGCGGGCAAAGCUCCGACGGUCUAGGAUCGGUUCAUGCCCUAUCAGCUAGUUGGUGAGGUAACGGCUCACCAAGGCGGCGACGGGUACCGGGCGUGAGAGCGUGACCCGGCACAUCGGAACUGAGAUACGGUCCGGACACCUACGGGUGGCUGCAGCAACGAAUAUUCCGCAAUGGACGAAAGUCUGACGGAGCGACGCCGCGUGCAGGAUGAAGUCCUUCGGGAUGUAAACUGCUGUCAGGGGUGAGGAAUAAGUGGCCAACCCCAGAGAAG